AUGCNCUACUGUACACCGACCACAAGGGGGGCACCAUCUCUGAUGCUUUCCGGUGUAUGUCAAGCCUUGGUAAGGUUCUUCGCGUUGCGUCGAAUUAAGCCACAUGCUCCGCCGCUUGUGCGGGCCCCCGUCAAUUCCUUUGAGUUUUAGCCUUGCGGCCGUACUCCCCAGGCGGGGCACUUAAUGCGUUAGCUGCGGCACGGACAACGUGGAAUGUUGCCCACACCUAGUGCCCACCGUUUACGGCGUGGACUACCAGGGUAUCUAAUCCUGUUCGCUCCCCACGCUUUCGCUCCUCAGCGUCAGUAUCGGCCCAGAGAUCCGCCUUCGCCACCGGUGUUCCUCCUGAUAUCUGCGCAUUUCACCGCUACACCAGGAAUUCCGAUCUCCCCUACCGAACUCUAGCCUGCCCGUAUCGACUGCAGACCCGGGGUUAAGCCCCGGGCUUUCACAACCGACGCGACAAGCCGCCUACGAGCUCUUUACGCCCAAUAAUUCCGGACAACGCUUGCGCCCUACGUAUUACCGCGGCUGCUGGCACGUAGUUAGCCGGCGCUUCUUCUGCAGGUACCGUCACUUUCGCUUCUUCCCUGCUGAAAGAGGUUUACAACCCGAAGGCCGUCAUCCCUCACGCGGCGUCGCUGCAUCAGGCUUUCGCCCAUUGUGCAAUAUUCCCCACUGCUGCCUCCCGU
rnacentral:rRNA from 1 species